AUUGAACGCUGGCGGCAGGCCUAACACAUACAAGUCGAACGAGUGGCGGACGGGUGAGUAAUGUCUGGGAACCUGCCUGAUGGAGGGGGAUAACUACUGGAACCGGUAGCUAAUACCGCAUACCAUCAGAUGUGCCCAGAGGGGAUUAGCUAGUUGGUGGGGUAACGGCUCACCAAGGCGACGAUCCCUAGCUGGUCUGCGAGGAUGACCAGGCACACUGUAACUGAGAAACGGUCCAGACUCCUACGGGAGGCAGCAGUGGGGAAUAUGGCACAAUGGGCGCAAGCCUGAUGCAGCCAUGCCGCGUGUAUGAAGAAGGCGUUCGGGUUGUAAAGUACUUUCAGCGGGGAGGCGUUACCCGAAGAAGAAGCACCGGCUAACUCCGUGCCAGCAGCCGCGGUAAUUC
rnacentral:rRNA from 1 species